rnacentral:rRNA from 1 species
AUGCGAUCAUACCCACUGGAGAACUCGGGAUCCCGUCCGCUCUCCCAUCGAUAAACCAGCGAGGGCCGGAGUAGUAGCCGGGUCGGUGACGACCAGCGAAUGCCUGGUGUUGCAUG